rnacentral:tRNA from 1 species
GGCGCUAUGGUGUAGUGGUAUGCACAUGGCUCUCAUCCGCCACAGCCCAGGUUCGAUUCCUGGUGGUGCCC